AAUGGUUCUGUACAUGCCUACAGUAACAAUCAGCAUGCUGGUGUCAUUCUGAAGUACUGUCUCUGUAUGUUCUGUGCUAGGUGUACCUGAGGUCACUGAUGGUGACAGGAUCAGUGUUAAGCCAACAAGGAUUGGUGGCAGUGAUGGGUUCACUGUGUCUCAUUGCUGUGUGCUGUGGAGCUGUGGUACUGUGCUGCAAACAGAGAAAUAAAAUGAGAAGCCAAUGAGAGAGAACAGAAGAAACCAUCAACACUCAACCUCAACAUGAUGAUCCUGA